ensembl:ncRNA F14H12.11 ncRNA
GUGUGAAGGGUCAAGUCUUAUGAAACGAGCGCAGUACACACUUCGCACUCUUUCCCGUCCUUUUCCCCCUUUCGCCUCGACCACACACUGCUCAAAUAACGUAGAGUGAGCCGAGGGCAUUACGAAUGCUCGUCGAAUGUAGCGCCUGCGGUCGGUUAUAUUAACUUCUUUUUUUUUAUCACGGUACAACUUAUCUGAAAUA